UCAAUAAGCGGAGGAAAAGAAACUAACAAGGAUUCCCCUAGUAACUGCGAGUGAAGCGGGAAAAGCUCAAAUUUAAAAUCUGGUGGUCUUUGGCCAUCCGAGUUGUAAUUUAGAGAAGCGUCUUCCGCGCUGGACCGUGCACAAGUCUCCUGGAAUGGAGCGUCAUAGAGGGUGAGAAUCCCGUCUUUGGCACGGAUGCCCCAGGGCUUUUGUGAUGCGCUCUCGAAGAGUCGAGUUGUUUGGGAAUGCAGCUCAAAAUGGGUGGUGAACUCCAUCUAAAGCUAAAUAUUGGCGAGAGACCGAUAGCGAACAAGUACCGUGAGGGAAAGAUGAAAAGCACUUUGGAAAGAGAGUGAAACAGUACGUGAAAUUGUUGAAAGGGAAACGCUUGAAGUCAGUCGCGUUGACCGAGACUCAGCCUUGCCCCUUGGCUUGGUGUACUUCUCGGCUGACGGGUCAGCAUCAAUUUUGCCCCUUGGAUAAUGGCAAGGGAAAUGUGACACCUUUAUGGUGUGUUAUAGUCUCUUGUCGCAUGCAAGGGUCGGGAUUGAGGAACUCAGCACGCACCCUUUGGGUGUCGGGGCUUUGCCCACGAUACGUGCUUAGGAUGUUGGCGUAAUGGCUUUAAACGACCCGUCUUGAAACACGG
rnacentral:rRNA from 1 species